rfam:Myotis lucifugus cont2.45166, whole genome shotgun sequence.
UUUACUUCCCUAGUUGUAGGACUUCCAUUCAGCCAGCUUUCAGGCAGUUCUGAAUGAUGGUUGUUCUGUAUUUUAGCUGUAAU